UACGUAGGGGGCUAGCGUUGUCCGGAAUCAUUGGGCGUAAAGAGCGCGUAGGCGGCCCGGUAAGUCCGCUGUAAAAGUCCAGGGCUCAACCCUGGAAAGCCAGUGGAUACUGUCGGGCUCGAGUCCGGAAGAGGCGAGUGGAAUUCCUGGUGUAGCGGUGGAAUGCGCAGAUAUCAGGAGGAACACCAAUGGCGAAGGCAGCACUCUGGGACGUGACUGACGCUGAGACGCGAAAGCGUGGGGAGCAAACAGG
rnacentral:rRNA from 1 species